ACCCACCACAGAAGGUAAUAGUCCUGUAUGUUAAACGAGAAGACUUUAGAUAUGAUCCAGAGUACCACGGGACACGUGAAACCCUGUGGGAAGCAGGAGGGACCACCCUCCAAGGCUAAAUACUACCUAGUGACCGAUAGCGUAUAGUACCGUGAGGGAAAGGUGAAAAGAACCCCGGGAGGGGAGUGAAAUAGAACCUGAAACCCUGCACUUACAAGCUGUGGAAGCACAUUUCUUGUGUGACCGCGUACUUUUUGUAGAACGGGCCAACGAGUUACGUUAAGUAGCAAGGUUAAGCACUUAAGGUGCGGAGCCGUAGCGAAAGCGAGUUUUAACUGAGCGUUCAGUUACUUGACGUAGACCCGAAACCGGGCGACCUACCCAUGAGCAGGAUGAAGCGAAAGUAAAAUUUCGUGGAGGUCCGAACCCACGAGCGUUGAAAAGCUCGGGGAUGACUUGUGGGUAGCGGUGAAAUUCCAAUCGAGCCCGGAGAUAGCUGGUUCUCCCCGAAAUAGCUUUAGGGCUAGCCUCAAGGUGAGAGAUACGGAGGUAGAGCACUGAAUGUCCUAGGGGGUAUUGCACCUACCGAAGACUAUCAAACUCCGAAUGCCGUCAUCUUAUACUUGGGAGUCAGACUGUGGGUGAUAAGAUUCAUAGUCGAAAGGGCAACAGCCCAGAUCGUCAGCUAAGGUCCCUAAAUGUAAGUUAAGUGGUAAAGGAUGUGGGAUUGCACAGACAACCAGGAUGUUGGCUUAGAAGCAGCCACUCAUUCAAAGAGUGCGUAAUAGCUCACUGGUCGAGUGAUCCUGCGCCGAAGAUUUCCGGGGCUAAAACUUACUACCGAAGCUACGGCAUCAGUAAUGAUGGGUAGGGGAGCUUCCCAUACGGGUUGAAGCAUGACCGUAAGGACAUGUGGACAGUAUGGGAGUGAGAAUGUUGGCAUGAGUAGCGAGAUGUGGGUGAGAAUCCCACAGGCCGUAAACCCAAGGUUUCCAGGGGAAGGUUCGUCCGCCCUGGGUUAGUCGGGACCUAAGCUGAGGCCGAAAGGCGUAGGUGAUGGACAACAGGUUGAUAUUCCUGUACUACCGAUAACCGUUUGAGAGAAGGGAUGACACAGUAGGAUAAGCUAAGCACACUGUUGGUUAUGUGUGCCCAAGCAUUGAGGCAGUCAAAGUAGGCAAAUCCGCUUUGAUAAUGCUGGGAUGUGAUGGGGAGCGAAAUUUAGUAGCGAAGUAGCUGAUUUCACACUGUCAAGAAAAGUCUCUAUCGAGGUUAAAGGUACCCGUACCGCAAACCGACACAGGUGGGUGAGGAGAGUAUCCUAAGGCCAGCGAGAGAACUGUUGUUAAGGAACUCGGCAAAAUGACCCCGUAACUUAGGGAUAAGGGGUGCCACCAUCAGGUGGCCGCAGAGAAUAGGCCCAAGCGACUGUUUACCAAAAACAUAGGUUUCUGCUAAGUCGCAAGACGAUGUAUAGGAGCUGACGCCUGCCCGGUGCUGGAAGGUUAAGGGGAUCUGUUAGAGCAAUCGAAGCAGUGAACUUAAGCCCCAGUAAACGGCGGCCGUAACUAUAACGGUCCUAAGGUAGCGAAAUUCCUUGUCGGGUAAGUUCCGACCCGCACGAAAGGCGUAACGAUUUGGGCACUGUCUCAACAACAGACUCGGUGAAAUUGUAAUUCCGGUGAAGAUGCCGGAUACCUGCGACAGGACGGAAAGACCCCAUGGAGCUUUACUGUAGCUUGACAUUGGGUCUUGGUACUACAUGUACAGGAUAGGUGGGAGGCUUUGAAACCAGGACGCCAGUUUUGGCGGAGCCAUCCUUGGGAUACCACCCUUGUAGUACUGGGACUCUAACCAUAGGCCAUGAAUCUGGUCUUGGGACACUGUCAGGUGGGCAGUUUGACUGGGGCGGUCGCCUCCCAAAAGGUAACGGAGGCGCUCAAAGGUUCUCUCAGUACGGUCGGAAAUCGUACGUAGAGUGUAAAGGCAAAAGAGAGCUUGAUUGCAAGACAUACAGGUCGAGCAAGGAUGAAAAUCGGACUUAGUGAUCCGGUGGUUCUGCGUGGAAGGGCCAUCGCUCAACGGAUAAAAGCUACCCUGGGGAUAACAGGCUUAUCUCCCCCAAGAGUCCACAUCGACGGGGAGGUUUGGCACCUCGAUGUCGGCUCAUCACAUCCUGGGGCUGUAGUAGGUCCCAAGGGUUGGGCUGUUCGCCCAUUAAAGUGGUACGCGAGCUGGGUUCAGAACGUCGUGAGACAGUUCGGUCCCUAUCCGUCGCAGGCGUAGGAAAUUUGAGAAGACCUGUCCUUAGUACGAGAGGACCGGGAUGGACGUACCUCUGGUGUACCAGUUGUCCUGCCAAGGGCAUGGCUGGGUAGCUAUGUACGGAAUGGAUAAGCGCUGAAAGCAUCUAAGCGCGAAGCCAACUUCAAGAUAAGAUUUCCCACCGCAAGGGUAAGACCCCAGAAAGACUAUCUGGUUGA
rnacentral:rRNA from 1 species